AUCAAAACACUCCUAUGUAAGCAAUAAAUUGAAUAAGUUGAAGUAUUUGGCGUAGGAAAUUGGGACAUUUAGCGUUAUUGAUUCUCUAAGCUUCUUGAUCAGUUCUAGGUGAAAGCAAAUAAACGGUAUCUUCUGUUUUGUCCGUCACGAAUUCCCUCAUAAGAAUGGAGUGACAUAGUUAAAACGAGAAGGAAUUUACCAUUGAUUCUAGUUUGCUUGAUCUUCUUUGAUUAUAUAACCUAGCUUCUCACCUACACAUCUACCCCAGCAUGCUUCUAACAGACUAAACACAAAUCAAAAGCGAUGCGCGCGCGUCCUGUCUUCAUUAACGUUGUCUAAAGUGUAUUACUGUAUUAUUAGAUAACGCGGUUGGUAUUUUUUGCUGUCAGAUUUUGCGAGCUUGGUGUUAGAUCACGUUAUACGUCUCUUUAUAAUGACAUGGCUCCUCUAGAUGCAAUGAGGGAAUUUUCGGUUACGCCGCUGCGCAUGCAUAGAGUUUGUGAAAAAGUUGCACCCCACAAUCCCCUGUGACCAUGACUAAAGGUAGAACCUUUUUUGAGGUGAAGCAACUGUAUAUGAGUUUUUGAAACUAUCGGUUUUGUAGGUGUUUUUGAGCGUCUCUAUUUAUUUACAUUGCUAAUCGAAGUCAAGAAACAACAAUGUCCGGUAUGUUGUAGCGGACGCGGCUGGAAUCGCUGAAUGGUCGCUCCCUCUUUCACAGAGGCGGGCCAUGAAUCGCUGUGCAGAUACAUGUCGUCAGCGUUACGGGAGUCAUCAUUAAAAGUCCGCAAACGGAUCCGCCCGUACAAUUUAUCAAAAUAGUCUCGCUCGUGUAUUAAAUUGUCGUUAAAAUACCCUGUCCGACUUUGACAACUACCAUUACACCUACCGCUCAUUUUUUACCAUUUGGCUGUACUGAUUGAUUACCUA